rnacentral:rRNA from 1 species
UACGAAGGGGGCUAGCGUUGCUCGGAAUCACUGGGCGUAAAGGGUGCGUAGGCGGGGCUUUAAGUCAGGGGUGAAAUCCUGGAGCUCAACUCCAGAACUGCCUUUGAUACUGAAGGUCUUGAGUUCGGGAGAGGUGAGUGGAACUGCGAGUGUAGAGGUGAAAUUCGUAGAUAUUCGCAAGAACACCAGUGGCGAAGGCGGCUCACUGGCCCGAUACUGACGCUGAGGCACGAAAGCGUGGGGAGCAAACAGG